UCUCUGCUCGUAUAACGGUUAGUAUGCAACCUUGUCACGGUUGAGACCAGAGUUCGACUCUCUGGCAGAGAG